rnacentral:rRNA from 1 species
UGGGGAAUAUUGGACAAUGGGCGCAAGCCUGAUCCAGCAAUGCCGCGUGUGUGAAGAAGGCCUUCGGGUUGUAAAGCACUUUUAUCAGGAGCGAAACGCUGUCGGCUAAUACCCGGCGGAACUGACGGUACCUGAGGAAUAAGCACCGGCUAACUUCGUGCCAGCAGCCGCGGUAAUACGAAGGGUGCAAGCGUUAAUCGGAAUUACUGGGCGUAAAGCGUGCGUAGGCGGUUUCUUAAGUCUGCUGUGAAAUCCCCGGGCUCAACCUGGGAAUGGCAGUGGAUACUGGGAGGCUAGAGUGUGUCAGAGGGUGGUGGAAUUCCCGGUGUAGCGGUGAAAUGCGUAGAGAUCGGGAGGAACAUCAGUGGCGAAGGCGGCCACCUGGGACAACACUGACGCUGAGGCACGAAAGCGUGGGGAGCAAACAGGAUUAGAUACCCUGGUAGUCCACGCCCUAAACGAUGCGAACUGGAUGUUGGUCUCAACUCGGAGAUCAGUGUCGAAGCUAACGCGUUAAGUUCGCCGCCUGGGGAGUACGGUCGCAAGAUUAAAACUCAAAGGAAUUGGC